rnacentral:rRNA from 1 species
AUACGGAGGAUGCGAGCGUUAUCCGGAUUUAUUGGGUUUAAAGGGAGCGUAGGUGGGAUAUUAAGUCAGCUGUGAAAGUUUGGGGCUCAACCUUAAAAUUGCAGUUGAUACUGGUUUCCUUGAGUACGGUAUAGGUGGGCGGAAUUCGUGGUGUAGCGGUGAAAUGCUUAGAUAUCACGGAGAACUCCGAUCGCGAAGGCAGCUCACCGGGCCGGAACUGACACUGAUGCUCGAAAGUGCGGGUAUCAAACAGGAUUAGAUACCCUGGUAGUCCGCACAGUAAACGAUGAAUACUCGCUGUUUGCGAUACACUGUAAGCGGCCAAGCGAAAGCGUUAAGUAUUCCACCUGGGGAGUACGCCGGCAACGGUGAAACUCAAAGGAAUUGACGGGG